rnacentral:lncRNA from 1 species
GUCAGUCAGUGUGUCUGUAUGAACCCCUCUCUCUCAGUGCAGUGUUAAUGUACUGGAGUGUCCAGUCAGUCAGUGUGUCUGUAUGAACCCCUCUCUCUUUUUCUCUCUCAGGGAAAUGGGUCGCUCACAGACAAUCAGUGUGGUCACUCUGUUCUUCAAUGAUCUGAAUAUGGAGAAGGAGUACCGCUUCUCCAAGAUGAAGAACCUGUUCGUCUCCUUGAUCUGCACCAUCCUCAUCUUCACAGCCGUCUUCAUCAUCCAGAUGCUGGUGUCCGACAAGAACGCGGCUCUGGGUGUGUCGUAUGGAGUCACGUUCUUUGUCCUGGCUCUGAUACUGCUAGUCUGCUGCACCGGACUGCUGGAGGUAGGUGCUCUUCUUACUGCUGUUAUUACUACUGCUCUUAUUACUACUGUUAUUAAUACUGUUAUUACCACUGCUCUUAUUACUACUGCUCUUAUUACUACUGUAAUUAUUAUUGCUUUUAUUACUACUGUUAUUACUACUGCUCUUAUUACUACUGCAGUUAUUAUUGCUCUUGUUACUGCCGCAGGUACAGUAUAAUUGUUGUGAUUACUACUGUUAUUAAUACUGCUGUUAUCACUACUGUUAUAACUUCUGCUCAUAUUUUUACUGACUGACUACAGUCAGUCAGUGUGUCUGUAUUAAGUCUGUGUGCUCUGAUGGCAUGCUCUGACAGUGUGCUCAGGAGGUGUGCUCUGAUGGCCUGUUCUCAUACUGUGCUCAGGAGGUGUGAUCUGACAG